UUGAAAAGCUUUGGCUUACUCUUUGAUGGUUUUUAAACCCCCACUAGCAAAAAACUAUUAAUUUAGAUUUGCUAGUGGAUUUUAUUACAAAACUCUUUGUACUAAGCUGUGUCUGUCUGAAAAUAAAGUUUUUAAUGCUUUUA
rnacentral:misc_RNA from 1 species